GGGAGGUAGUGACAAUAAAUAACAAUACGGGGCUCUUUCGGGUCUCGUAAUUGGAAUGAGUACAAUUUAAAUCCCUUAACGAGGAACAAUUGGAGGGCAAGUCUGGUGCCAGCAGCCGCGGUAAUUCCAGCUCCAAUAGCGUAUAUUAAAGUUGUUGCAGUUAAAAAGCUCGUAGUUGAAUUUCGGGAUUGACGUGAUGGUCAUGCCUUAAGGGGUAUGAACUGUUGCAGUUGAUUUCUCACCUUCUGGAAAAACUUGAUGUCCUUUAUUGGGUGUCUUGCGGAUCCAGGACCUUUACCUUGAAAAAAUUAGAGUGUUUAAAGCAGGCAUUUUUGCUCGAAUACAUUAGCAUGGAAUAAUAGAAUAGGACGGCAUGGUUCUAUUUUGUUGGUUUCUAGGAUCACCGUAAUGAUUAAUAGGGAUAGUUGGG
rnacentral:rRNA from 1 species